ACCUCCUCCUUCCGCGUCCCCCGCAGGUACACAAGUGAUGACGUCUGUGACACACGUUUAAUCGUUUACAUCCAUAAUAUACUCAAACGAUAUAUGCGAAACGCCAGUAACUGCAAUUUAAAUCGACAAUAAUAUUUUUUCUACGUCGCCUAUACGAGUAGGUACCUAUAUUUAUGUGAAAGACGAAGAGUAUGUUGACAGUUCUCAUCGUCGCGAAAUUCGAUUUACAUAAUAUUAUAAACACAUUUAACAAAACCGUAAUGCACCUACUCGUAUAUAUUAUUAAAAUAGAGCCAAACACGGGUUUUAUUCAGAAUGAUUAUCAGGUAUU